GCCCAUUGAUGAUAUUAUGGCAUGUUUCAUGAUCUAGUCAGACCGAGGGAUUGUGGCUUCUAGCAUGCUGAUUGAUGGGUAAUCUUGGCAGUGUGGUUUAGUUUUAUUGCACCGCUGUAAGGGCCCAUCCACAUUCAACUUGAUGCCUUCUACAAUCUCCUUCCAUGAGUAAUGGGAUGGUAGUGAUAGAAGGUGCCAAACAAUGCGCAAAUGUUUUGUUUGUCUUUGUGUGUGUAUGUGGUACGCAUGUAUAUGUAUCAGUUUGCAAGAGGCUUUCAUCCAUAUACACUUGGUUUGACCUAAAUGAAUGUCUCUUUGGUAAUCUGAGGGCA